UGAUGUGCAAUGUGCUCAGGAUAGGGGGGUGAAUGAGAUUGACGAAGAGUUCUUGUUCUGUAUCUCAGUUUUUCUCUUUAUACUCAAAUUAAAUAGUGGGAAAAAUUAUCGGGAAAAUCACAUCAUAUGCAAUGGAGUGUAUUUGGAUAUUAAGUGGAUAAAUACACGCUCUGGGCGUUUUUCGGUGAAGAAGUACUACGGUGUUUGUAAAUAUUUAUUUAAAUAAUUUGUGUGAGAAGAGCAGGGUUGGCUGCUGCUCAACUGCCACCCCCUCAAUGCAAAAUUGGAUGGUGUUCAAAACUGAAGACUGUGUGAAGGCUGAAAGCUGUCCAGGACUGAGCUUCCGACAGAAGGGAUCAAUGAUGGAAUUACAGACCCUCCAAGAGGCCCUGAAAGCGGAUAUACAAGUUCACCAGGUAACUAUGGACUAUGCAUCUCUCUGCUUUUCUGCCGUUUUAACCACCAUUCGUUUACUCGAUUAACCUGGAAAUUAUCAUCAGAAGUGUUUCGGGAGGAAAGUUGGUAGCACAUUCAACUGUGCGACAGAAUGUGGUUGGGAUUUUGUUCAUACCCUCCAUCAGAUUCUUGCCCUCGGGCUGCUCCAUGAAUACUUCCUCCUUGGACUCAUCCUAUCUGUCAGCUUAUCCACCUCCUUCUCUACUCUGCUUCCCCCUGCCUCUCCCUUCAGUGAUUGUCCUUUAAGUAUGGUUUAGUGUCGGGUUUGGGUCAGAAAAAUAUACUUCAUCCUGUAUGCUCUACACUCUUAGAAAAAUAAGUGCUAUCUAGAACCUAAAAGGGUUAUUCGGC
rnacentral:lncRNA from 1 species